rnacentral:rRNA from 1 species
GACAGAGGGGGCAAGCGUUGCUCGGAAUUACUGGGCGUAAAGGGCGCGUAGGCGGGAUGGCAAGUCGGUCGUGAAAUCCCUCGGCUCAACCGAGGAACGUCGAUCGAUACUGCUGUUCUUGAGGAUUGCGGAGGAGACUGGAAUUCCCGGUGUAGCGGUGAAAUGUGUAGAGAUCGGGAGGAACACCGGUGGCGAAGGCGGUCUGCUGGGCGGUGGAUCCGCAAGGGUCCAAUAGCCGACACUGAGGCGCGACAGCGUGGGGAGCAAACAGG